GGGCGGUUAGCUCAGCGGUAGAGCACUGCAUUCACAUUGCAGGGGUCACAAGUUCAAAUCUUGUACCGCCCACAA
rnacentral:tRNA from 2 species